rnacentral:misc_RNA from 1 species
GUAGGGCUUCGGCCCUGUCGAAAUAGAACCCUUGCCUUUUUGAGUACCUUUCGUUUCCUCGGCAGGCUCGCCUGCCAAUGGGGACCACAAAAAACACUUUGCAGUACCUGUAACAGUCUGAACAAACAUACAAGAAUUAAAACUUUCAACAACGGAUCUCUUGGUUCU